CUGUUAUAGUGCUGUCGUCAAUAUACAUUAACAUUUAACAUGACCUGCAGACAUUUGCCUGAAAGAUUUUUCUAUGUCGCUCUUUUCCGAUCAGAUGAAAGACACAAGGUUAAAAAAAAAAACAAGACUCAAUAUAUUUUCCUGUAGUCACCUUAUUCUCAUGAGACAAGAACUGUAACUUCUAACAAUAUUGGUCAAAAUUUAUUGACAAGUCACGAUCACGAGAUCAUUACAGGGUAUCACUGAGCUAUGUGGUAUUGAAUUAGGCUUGGCGACUUGAAAAUUAUUUGAGCAUUUUUUCCUCUACUUUUGUUGCUAUACAUGCAAGAAUUUUCGGUAAUACUUCAGUAUUUCAAUAAAAUACAAAAUAAUUGUAACUCGGAACAAUUUCAUUUUCAAUUUAAUAUCGCGACCUUUCGGCUAAUAUUCGGAAAAUGAAAUUGUUCGGAGUUAGCUACUAUUAUUUUGUGCUGCCUUUGGAAUACGUCUUAGCAAAAGAUUUGUAUGUUUUCAGGGUUCAGCAGCAGUGAUAGCCAUUCCCAUGCACCUAUGGCUAUGCCUCAAAAAGUCGGUUUACACUAUAUCGAAGUGUGUUUUUCGAAAGAGGUUUACACAAUCUGCAAUCACAAACUUUGAUGAAAGAAAUUCCGACAGCAUAAACCAAGUACCACCUUAAGUCUUCAAAAAAAGUUUACACUGUCACACAUGCGCUUUGACCAACAAAACUUUGAUAGAGUCAACCAACCUUAAGUCUUUAAAAGAGGUUUACAUAGUUACACGUUGAUCAGGCUUAAAGAACUAUGAAGAGGUUUAAGUCCCAUAUUCAAUCUAUUCACCAACGAAUAGCAACAUGCCGGACAAAAGGUUAAGGUUUGGAGCGACGAUGCCGGAUAAAAAGCUUGAAUAAAGUGAAACCUGAUGCAAACAUCAGCCAAUAUUACCAAACUUGCUCUUCACACAAAUCUAACAAUGUUGCAUCCGUCACAUCGUUAGUAUUCAAAAUC